CUGGCAAGGUCUCCUAGAGUCGCUCCUAAUAAGCUCCUGGAAUAUCUCCUUAAACUUUGGGGAAAAUGAUGCUCACAGUAAAUCAGGCGGAGAUGCUGGGAAUUCCUUGGCAGAGGAACAGGUUAAAGGCUCAGAAAGAUCGUGGAGGAUGACAAUGAACCUUGAUUACCUGGACAUUUUGGACACUGGUCCACUAUACUGAUGACACCAUGCCAGUUGGACCCAGUAGCAGAAAGUGACUAGAGCUGUGAAUGCUUAGUGCAUAUCUUUUAUGUCGAAACAAGAAAAGUGGACUUCAAAUUUUGCUACAACUGUGCUAAGCACAAUGUGUGUCACCAUCACCAGAUUAAGCACUAAUCACAAUAUUCCAAACUCAUAGGAAAGUGACAGUUAAAAAAAUUAGGACAGCUAGAAUUUCUUCACAAGAAUUAAAAAUGUAAAUGAAGCUGCAACCAAAGCAAGUUUCCAAGUGGCUUAUUAGCAAGCAAAGAAAGUGGUUUACCAAUAUUAAGUUAAUAAGAUUGUAUUUGAUUGGAAAAGUUGAAGAAAUGUGUCCAGAGAAAAUAAACCUGUUUAAAACAAUCAAACUAUGGUAAGAACAGUUGGUCCAAGAGUUGGGGACCUUGGUUGCAACAUCAACAGUUGUUACAAAAAGAAGGCUGAUGGUUCUGGGUAUUUUUCCUUGUAUCUUAAUGAGUUGACAGAUGCUACCGGCACUGCUCAGUUGUUGUUUACUUGAGGUAGCAACGCCAGGUUUGAAGUGACUGAAGAAUUGGGUUCGUCUGUGUAGAACAAGUACAAGUGAGAAUAUUUUCAAAGAAGUUGAGAAAAUCUCUAAUACAGAACAACCUGAAGUGGAAUCUGCUAAGAUGUGUUACAACUCCUAGUGGUAGAAAUUUGUGUGGAACAGAAAAGGUUUAAUUGGACAAAUUUACAAAGCUUAUGAAAAAGUAGAAGGUUAAAGCCUGCAGUUACUCGUGUGAUUUAUCGGCAGAUACUAUGCAGAAAAUACAGCCAUGUGCUACUUAGCAACAGGGAGAUGUCCUGAGAAAUGCAUCGCUCGGCAAUUUCGUCGUUGUAUGGACAUCGUAGAGUGCACUCACACAGACCUGGGUGGCACAGCCUACUACACACCCAGCUAUAUGGGAUAACCUAUGGCGCCUAGGCCACGGCAUGUUACUGUGCCGAAUGCUGUAGGCGAUGUGAAGGCCAAAGCCCCAAAUCCAGAGACAGGCUGAGGAAGAUACGUAAGUGAAGUCAUGGUGUGGCGACCUCGACCAACAACUUCACAAUGGAUAAGAUUGUAUUUGGACGUGGGAGUGCAAUGUGCAGAGAGCCAACACGCAGAAGGCAACAGGGCUGCUCAAAAGGUGGAGCCUCACAACCUGCUCUUUCUAGUGAUGUCCAGAGACUGGCGUUUGCAAUGUUAGCAAGACAAUAAAAAAAGAAAAGAAAAGAAAAUUA